CCCCUGCACAGCCCAGUCUGCCCUGUACGAGCAUCCCGCUCGUACAGGGCUACUAGUUCCAUCCAGCCAAGGCGGGUUGUGCAGGAGGUAAGAUCUAGACCGGCUGUGCGCCUCCAUAGCCCUGGGUUUCCAGCUCCUGUCUCUCGUGCGGACCCGGAAGUGCGUCAACCCAGUCCGACUGGUCCUGUUCCCGCUCCCCGCACUAGCCUUCAAGUGCGUAAACCCAGCACCGCCAGUCAACAGUCGUCGGAGCUGCCCGCCAGUCAACAGUCGUCGGAGCUGCCCGCCAGUCAACAGUCGUCGGAGCUGCCCGCCAGUCAACAGUCGUUGGAGUGGCCAGACUGCGCUGAACUGCCGGAGUGGCCAGACUGCGCUGAACUGCCGGAGUGGCCAGACUGCGCUGAACUGCCGGAGUGGCCAGACUGCGCUGAACUGCCGGAGUGGCCAGACUGCGCUGAACUGCCGGAGUGGCCAGACUGCCCUGAACUGCCGGAGUGGCCAGACUGCCCUGAACUGCCGGAGUGGCCAGACUGCCCUGAACUGCCGGAGUGGCCAGACUGCCCAGACUGUCCCGAGUUGCCAGACUGCCCAGACUGUCCCGAGUUGCCAGACUGCCCAGACUGUCCCGAGUUGCCAGACUGCCCAGACUGUCCCGAGUUGCCAGACUGCCCAGACUGUCCCGAGUUGACAGACUGCCCAGACUGUCCCGAGCUGCCAGACUGUCCAGACUGCCCCGAGCUGCCAGACUGCACCAAGCUGCCAGACUGCCCCGAGCUGCCAGACUGGCUAGACUGCCCCGAACUGCCAGAGUGGCCCGACUGCCCGGAACGGCCAGAACCGGAGCCACCUCCUGAUAUAGGUGGGUUGGGGAGGGGGGGGUGUAGCACAGUGCCGUCGUUGACGGCAGCCACCCUCCCUUCCCUCCCUUUAGUAGAGGGGAAAUUUUGUUUUGUUGUUUGGGGUUGUUGUUUUUGUUUUGUUUUUUGUUUUAAAGGUGCUUCCGGGGUUAGCACCUUUAAGGGGGGGGUACUGUCACGUCCUGGCCAGUAUAAGGGUUAAUUAGUAUUGUAGUUUGGUCAGGACGUGGCAGAGGGUAUUUGUUUUAUGUGGUUCAGGGUGGUGUGUUU
rnacentral:lncRNA from 1 species